GUGGAAGAGGACCCCGCCGCGACCGCGUCCCCUCGGGUCCUUGAGCCGGUGCGGACCGCGGAGCCAUGGCCUUGAGGCUGCUGAGAGGGCUCCCCGCGGCGGCGCGGGGCCUGGCGGCGGUCGUCCAGCGCGUGGAAGGAAUUCAUACAGGCGCCCAGUGCAGGCUACAGUAUGGCCCUUUGGCAUACAUACUCGGCGAAAGAACAACCAAAAAAUUCACAGAAUACAGCAGAGUGAUAACUGUAGACGGCAAUAUAUGUUCUGGAAAAGGCGAGCUUGCAAAACAAAUAGCAGAGAAACUAGGCUUGAAGCACUUCCCCGAAGCCGGGAUCCACUACGUGGACAGCGCGACGGGAGACGGGAGGCCCCUGGACGUGGAGCUUAGCGGCAGCUGCAGCGUGGAGAAGUUUUACGAGGACCCGAGAAGUAACGACGGCAACAGCUACCGCCUGCAGUCCUGGCUGUACGCCAGCCGCCUCCUGCAGUACGCGGACGCCCUGGAGCACUUGCUGAGCACAGGACAAGGUGUCGUAUUGGAACGUUCCAUCUUCAGCGACUUUGUUUUCUUGGACGCGAUGUAUAACCAAGGAUUCAUCCGGAAGCAGUGUGUGGAGCACUACAACGAGGUGAAGAAGGUCACCGCCUCUGAGUACCUGCCUCCCCACGUGGUCAUCUACAUCGACGUGCCGGUUCCGGAGAUCCAGAGUCGGAUUCAGAAGAAAGGAAACCCACACGAAAUGAAGGUCACCUCGGCCUAUCUGCAGGACAUCGAGAACGCCUACAAGAAAACCUUCCUGCCUGAGAUGAGUGAGAAGUGUGAGGUUUUACAGUAUAGUGCAAGGGAAGCUCAAGAUGCGGAAAAGGUGGUGGAGGACAUCGAGUACCUCAAGUACAACAAGGGGCCGUGGCUGGAGCAGGAUGACCGGACUCUUCACCACCUGCGGAUGCUGGUUCAGAAUAAGCUGGAGGUGCUGAAUUACACGACCAUUCCCAUCUAUCUCCCAGAAAUCACGAUCGGAGCUCACCAGAGUGACCGCAUCUUCCAGAAAUUCACAGAGAUUCUCAGCGUGGACGUGGUUUAGUUGAGCGCGUAGAGCGCUCUUCAGCCUGCCCUUCGCCCGUCGGGGCGGGAAGACGCGCCGAGACGUGCGCUGCGAGUGCCCCUGCACACGCUGCCUGGAGAGCGCGUCCCCGAGCCUCCGCAUCGGUCCGUGUGCCCCGUGACCUCGAGUCCCGCGUGUGAGGAUAACACGUGUCCCCCGGAGAAGACCGCUAGUGCACGAGGCGGGCUUUUCGCCAGCUGCCAGGACGCAAGUACUGCCCCGGGUACAACGCGGACGUGGGUGACAAGUGGAUCUGGCUGAAGUGACGGACCCCCCUCCGUGGCCUGCAUCGCGAUGACGAGGACACUUCCGGUCUGCCUCACUCGUGGGGUCCCUGCAGCUUACUCGGGGGGAGGGGUGGGUGAGCCAGAACCAGGCCGCCUGUAGUGUAGCUGCUGGGGGACCGGGAGCCUCUAGUGUUUGGAAGGCGGGAAUCUUGUAGCUUUGGGAAUGAUCACCGGGGAAAUAAAUCUGCUAUUAAAGACUGGAUGUUACUAGAUGUUUCUAGAAGAAUUCCCUUUCAUUGCAGCUGUGUUCAGUGUCAUGCAGAUUUUGUACCUGUCUUCACACUUCGGGAAAUAAAAAUAAAACUGUU